UACAGAGGUGGCAAGCGUUGUUCGGAUUCAUUGGGCGUAAAGGGUCCGUAGGCGGCUCAGAAAGUUGGAUGUGAAAUCCCAUGGCUUAACCAUGGAACUGCAUUCAAAACUUCUGGGCUAGAGGGUGAGAGGGGUAGAGGGAAUUCCCGGUGUAAGGGUGAAAUCUGCAGAGAUCGGGAAGAACACCAGUCGCGAAGGCGCUCUACUGGCUCAUUUCUGACGCUGAGGGACGAAAGCUAGGGGAGCAAACGGG
rnacentral:rRNA from 1 species